rnacentral:rRNA from 1 species
AUUAGAAGUCGUAACAAAAGGUCUUUUUUGCUUUGAACCAGCGGAGGGAUAAUUACCGAGUUUACAACUCCCAAAACCCCAAUGUAAAACCAUACCAAACUGUUGCCUCGGCGGGGUCACUCCCCGGGUGGAUCGCAGCCCCGGAACCAGGCGCCCGCCGGAGGGAUCCCAACCAAUCCAAACUCUUUCUUUCGUAGUCCCCUCGCGGACGUUAUUUCUUACAGCUCUGAGCAAAAAUCGGCGAUCUCAAAAUGAAUCAAAACUUUCAAACAACGAAUCUCUUUUCGGGUUUUGGCACUGAUGAACAACGCAGCGAAAUGCGAUAAGUAAUGUGAAUUAAAGAAUUCAGUGAAUCAUCGAAUCUUUGAACGCAAAUUGCGCCCCCCAGUAUUUUUUGGCGGGCAUGCCUGUCCAUGCGUCAUUUCAACAGAGACCUCGAACCCCUCCGGGGGGUCGGCGUUGGGGGAUGAUCGGGAACCCCUAAGACGGGAUCCCGGCCCCGAAAUACAGUGGCGGUCUCGCCGCAUCCUCUCAUCCUAGGGGUGCUUUGCGGACAACUCGCACCGGGAGCGCGGAAAUUCCACGUCCGUAAAACACCCAACAUAUAUUCUGAACUGUUGACCUCGGUUCGAUCUAACAGGAAACCCUUACCCGCUGAACUUAAGCAUAUCAAUAAGCGGG